GGGGGUGAAAUGGCUUCGACGGGGUGUGGAAAGGUACGUGAGGCGAUUCGGCAUGGUACCACCGUAAUGGACCACGGCAUAUAACUGCCAAUGACGAGCACUAUGCUCCUGCCCUCGCUGCUGCCUAACAAUAGGUAACAGUGUUGUGCGGGGUCUGGACCCGGACCCGUCAACAGAAGCGUCAGCAGGGUCACGCCGGAAUUGCGAAGGCCGGUUGAAAUCCAAGGUCGCCCAGUGUCCCGAGGUAACGGGAGGAUGUGAACACGCUGGCCUGUAACGUUCACACCCAUACGGUCAGCAAAAUGAUCGUAACUCCUCUCGACUCACUACACAUUGCGGACCCGGGUUCGACUCCCGGCACCUCCACCA
rnacentral:tmRNA from 1 species